CGAGCACACGGGUCGGGAAAGCGUGCCCCGGCUUUUGAGGAUGUCUCCGGUUCCCGGGGCGGAAGAACUCAGAGCUCUCUGCACAAGUCGAUGGCGGGGGCCCUUCCUGGACUUGAGCCUGCCAGUGGCAAAGAAUCCUGGACAGAUAUCAUCCACUUGGUACAGAUAAGCAACUCCGAGCCAGAACAUUCCGGCGAUUUGCUCCAGGGCCACUCCCAGUUAGUGGCUGAGUGUUAAGUACUCCAGAAACCGGGUUUACAUACACACCCAGUCACAUGAUCCUUAAAAAGCUGUUUCUAUAAUUUGGAAAACUGUUAAAUUACUCUUUAAUAAACACCAUUUAAAGAUA